rnacentral:tRNA from 1 species
CAAAUAGUAGUUUUAAAAAUAGUAGUUUUGGGUACUACAGUAGAGUGAAAUAUCUUCUUUUUGA